rnacentral:rRNA from 1 species
GGCAGGGGCAACUCUGUCAGUGGCGGACGGGUGAGUAACGCGUAGGGAUCUAUCUCUGGGUGGGGGACAGCCGUGGGAAACUACGGCUAAUACCGCAUGACACCUGAGGGUCAAAGGCGCCUGGGGGAACCUGGGUGGUCGCCUGGAGCGGAGCCUGCGUACGAUUAGCUGGUUGGUGGGGUAAUGGCCUACCAAGGCUGUGAUCGUUAGCUGGUCUGAGAGGAUGAUCAGCCACAUUGGGACUGAGACACGGCCCAAACUCCUACGGGAGGCAGCAGUGGGGAAUAUUGGACAAUGGGCGCAAGCCUGAUCCAGCAAUGCCGCGUGUGUGAAGAAGGUCUUCGGAUUGUAAAGCACUUUCGACGGGGACGAUGAUGACGGUACCCGUAGAAGAAGCCCCGGCUAACUUCGUGCCAGCAG